GUGGGUAUAACUUAAAUGGUUAAAGUAUCAGACUGUGACUCUGAAAAUACGGGUUCAAUUCCCGUUAUUCGCC
rnacentral:tRNA from 1 species